AUUGAACGCUGGCGGCAGGCCUAACACAUGCAAGUCGAGCGAGCGGCGGACGGGUGAGUAAUGUCUGGGAAACUGCCUGAUGGAGGGGGAUACCUACUGGAAACGGUAGCUAAUACCGCAUACCAUCAGAUGUUCCCAGAUUGGAUUCGCUUGUAGGUGGGGUAACGGCGCACCUAGGCGACGAUCCCUAGCUGGUCUGAUAGGAUGACCAGCAACACUGGAACUCAGGCACGGUCCAUACUCCUACGGGAGGCCGCAGGUGGGAAUAUUGCACAAUGGGCUCAAGCCUGAUGCAGCCAUGCCGCGUGUGUGAAGAAGGCCUUCGGGUUGGAAAGCACUUUCAGCGGGGAGGCGUUACCCGCAGAAGAAGCACCGGCUAACUCCGUGCCAGCAGCCGCGGUAAUAC
rnacentral:rRNA from 1 species